AACGCAUCUUGCGCUCCUUGGUAUUCUGAGGAGCAUGCCUGUUUGAGUGUCAUCAAGUUCUCAACCACCAUGUGGCUUGGAUUUGGGGGUUAUUGUUUUGCAGGCUUCAAUCAAGUCAGCUCCCUUGAAAAGCAUUAGUGGUAUCUGAGCAUAAACUACUAUAGGUGUGAUAACUAUCUAUGCCUUGGUAUAUAAUGCAUGAACCAGACUACACUGCUUGCAAACUUUUAAAAGUGACAAAUUUGACCUCAAAUCAGGUAGGACUACCCGCUGAACUUAA
rnacentral:misc_RNA from 1 species